UGGCUGUCCUUGUUGUUGCAGCAGGAGGAGGAGCAGGAUGGAUGUGCUGCGGCCUCCCCUGGUGAGGAUCGGGGGCCGAGUGUACCGGAAAAACCUCAUCCAAGAGCAGGCCUUCCCUCAGCAGGAGGAGGAGGAGAGCUUCUAUGCAGGCCCCGGUGAGUGCGCGGACGAGCCCUGCGACGCCUUCGGGGUGGAGGAGACCGAGCGAGGCUUCCAGUGCCGCCUGGAGGUUCCCAGCCCCUUGUACAAGUACAUCAUUGGGAAGAAGGGGGAAACCAAGAAGAGGCUAGAAACAGAGACUCGAACUUCCAUCAGCAUUCCCAAGCCUGGAGUGGAAGGAGAAAUUGUGAUCACGGGGCAGCAGCGCAGCGGUGUCACCUCCGCGCGGACGCGCAUCGACGUGCUCCUGGACAGCUUCCGCAAGAGGCAGCCCUUCACACACUUCCUGUCCUUGCCUCUCAACCAGCCUGCCAUCCAGGAGAAGUUCCUGCAGUUCAAGGAGGAGGUGCUGGAGAAGUGCUCGAAGGAUCAGGGCGUCAGCAGCAGCCUGUUCCAGAACCCUGCAAAGCUUCACCUGACCAUUGGGACCCUGGUGCUCCUGAAUGAACAAGAGAUCCAGAAAGCCUGUGACCUCCUGCAGCGGUGCAAAGAGGACUUUGUGGACCAAAUUACUGGAGGCCAGCCCCUGACUGUGGAGGUGGCAGGAGUGGAGUACAUGAACGAUGACCCUGCCAUGACAGAUGUCCUUUAUGCCAAAGUCCACAUGAAGGAUGGCUCAGACAGGCUGCAGAUGGUUGCUGAUCAGCUGGUGGAGCGCUUUGUGGCCUCUGGCCUGAUGCUUAAAGAAUGGGACAGGGUGAAGCUGCAUGCCACAGUCAUGAACACUCUCUUCAGGAAAGAUCCAACUGAAGAACGAAACAACACAAUGACUGGUAAAUCAUCUUUCAAGGAGCGGGAGUCAUUUAAUGGCCAAAAUAUCCUCAAGGUCAGUAUGAAACAAUCAGGGAAAUGGAGCCAGCUAUGGAUAUUGUAUAGCCAAAAGAGGUCUAAACACCUCUUCUAGACUGCUUUUGUCUUAGGCUUAUGGGAUCUCCUGGGGCUUGGGGGGAGAGUGGGGAAUCUGUUUAGAAAAUAAACAGUCCGGAUCACUCGUAAUUGGGAGCAUUACAGUAUUUAACAGGAGCAUUCCUAAAGCUGCUGAGGCUCAGAGCAGGGAUAUGAAGCACGAAUGCUAAGUGGGUGUUCGUGUUGUCGUUUACUUCACUCCUGUUUUACCCUGGAGACUCAGGCUCGAGUUGAUUCUCAGCCCACCAGAAAGAAGCACUUCGUUGCUCUUGUUCUACUCAUAUAUAUUUAUGAAACUAAACCCCACUCUCAUUUCACUUACUCUUUUCUUUUUGGUUUUAAUCUCUGCUAUUGAUUUGCUCCAGAAAAAUCCUGGGUAGUGAUAGGGAGUCCCACCAGGAUCUGAGGGCUUUGGCAGUGAUCAGAGGUUAGAAAACACGAUCCCCCAGACUGUGGAGGUUGGGAAAGGUUCAAAGGGGAGCAUGCUGCAGACUCCCAGGCUUUGCCAACCAGGGUUGGGACUGCAGGCAGCCUCUGCUGCUCAUCCAGAUGGCUGUGGCAGACUGAUGCUGUGCUGCUUGACCCCUGCAAGUGUCCAGAGAGAAAAGAGAUGCACGGAGGAGCAGAAAUGGAAAACAGCACCAGCUUGUAAGCAAAUUUGCAAUCCUCAUUGUGUGAGAGGAUUUGUUGCAGGCAGUUCUGAUAAGAGGGAGCGAGGACAAUGCAUGGAUACAUUUGGGAAGGGUAAGGAGAUAUUCUGGCAAUGAAGAUACACGAGAGAGGAUGCGGGAUGGGUGGGAGCUGGACAAGCCAGAAGGACUUUAGAGCCCUCCCAGAGGAGGGGAAGAGUGAGCUUUAUUUGUAUUUACAGUCUUAAUAAUGUAUCAAGCACUGGAUGCAGGGGGAUGUGAAGGCAGGAUGUGGAACUGAUUGAUCUGUGUGCAGAGGACAAACAAAGGGACAAAAUUAGGUUAAGCUCUCAUUGUCCUCAAACGGUCUGUGCGAGCGUGGUGUCAUGACUCAGCGUCACCACAUGUUGAGUGUGCAGUGUGAGACUGCAGUAUUGCAAGCUGGAGCAGGGAAGCCACAGCCCUGGUCCCUUUCUUGAUGUGAUCUGCAGUUUUGGAUAGCUCCCAGUGUUGGGAGAGCUGGCUCUGGGAGGGGGAGAUGUAUGUCAGGAGCCCUGAGUGGCUGCAAGAGUCUGCUUUCUCCAUGUUCACCUUCACUCCUUUCUCCUGCUUGUGUUGAACUUGUCCUCAGGCUUUAGAGACACAUAAAAUCAAGCUGUGGGUCUUCCUCCGUGCUCUCAUCCCAAACCGUUUGUGAUUGGGAUGGUAUUAACGAUGCUCCCUCUGCUGGUCACAGCGUUUGUGGGGUCUGAGGAUCUGGGGGAGGGUCUUAGGGUGCACGGUGCUUGGAAAUGCAACUGCUCUCCUUCUGAGGCUACUUCUAAUUCUUGAUGCUCUUGGAAAUAUGAGCCCGAUGCAUUUUUAAAGCUCCUAAUUGAUUUUGUACUGACGUAGCCAAAAGAGCUGCUGGCUGUUUGGACUGCUGGUAAUUACUUCAAAGCAUGUCUUGCCACAAGAAAUGUCAUCCUUCUCUCCCACCUCCACUACAUUUCCUAACCUGCCCGCUUCGUAUUUCCCUUUGGUCUCCCACGUGCCUGCAGCAGAACGCCCGUUGGCAUUAAUUAAUUACAUGAGUCAUAAAUAGCUCCAGGCUUCUUACCAGAGAAGCCCAGCCUCAGUGAACCACUGAUGCAUUCCAGCAUGACCUUGCAGGGAUGCACCAGUUCCCUCCCAGCCUGCUUUUAUAUCCAUUAUUUAUCUUGUGCUGGGGAGGCUGCCCUCUCGCAAAGUGGCUUCAUUAACUUUUGCACCAGGAUCUGAACGACGGGCUGUUAAUGAAUAUGGCUGCAGUUAGGCAGGCUGGUGGGAGGGAGAGCCAUGUGCCCCACAUGUGAUUCCAGGCGGUGGGACUCUGUGAUAGCUGUGCUGAGUGGUUGUGUUCCCACUUGGAACGCUAACAAAGCAUGGCUGCUGGUAGGAGGGUAAGUGGGAAAACUCAGGUUUCAUCACUCUCAUUCCCAUUGUGCAGCCCUGUAGGGCCAAAGGCUCAGGGCAGGACUGGAGCUCUCAGAGCACAGAACACGAUGGAAGUGCUGUGGCUCUGCUGUUCCAGGCUGAGGCUCCCCAUGGUCAGAGCUGGGGGGUGUGUGUGUGCAGAUGCGCUGGCAGCCCAUGUUUGCUGAUAACAUGCCUGUGCUACACCAGGCUCCAGCUGGUAUUUUGCUUUCAGCUGAACUAAUCAGAAUUUUAUUUAAUAAUCCUUUGUUCUACCCGUUCCACAGAGUUAAACAUACACUCCUAUUUGUGCUAAUAAAUGGUUGUGCAGGCCGCUACCUUCCCACACUGCUCAGAAAAUAGAUCCUGUAGGAUGACUUACGUUUGGGAGUUUAAAUUACUUCUGUCUUGAAGAAUAUCCCUGAAAAAGGCUUCCUGGAAUAGGUAGAGCUAAGAGCCCAAGGGGCCGUGUGAGAUUUGUAUCCAACAGAACUUUGGCUUUGCACUUCUCAGUCUAGUCCCAAAAAGCUGGGACGGGAUGCUCCAUGGCCACGGAGCCAUACGAAUUCCCUCUAGGCUGCCUGUGAACAUCCCAGUCACGCACCGAAAUCCUUCUCCGGUCAGCAGCAAUGUCCCAUCUCUGGGAGGGCACAGGGAGCAGUUCCUGGCUGGAAGGCCCAGCAGGCAGGCCAGGGGAGGUGCGGGCUGGCAGCUCCUGCCGUGUGCCGCGGUGGCCGCGUGCCCCGCGCCGCAGCUGGCACGGCGCUGGCACGGAGGCGGCCGGGGCAGCUGCCGGCAUCUCCGGAGACCAGGCUGCGCUGCCUCCGGGCUUUUAUUUGUUUUUGUUUAGUGGGGAAAAAAUCCGACUAAGGCUGCAGUGAAUAAAUAAAAACGAAAAGAAAUGCGGAAAGGCCGACCGGCCAAAAAUUUCUGUUGGACGUUUAAGGGAAAGGAAGAAAACCACCUGGGCUCUCACUGGGUCAAAAUGGAAUGAAUUUUGGCUUGAGUUGAGGUCUGAGAAGUAAAUGAAUGGCCUUUGCCACGUUCAAACAAGAAGGAAGCAAAUUCUGAGUGCAGAAAAAGCUGAACUCUGCCGCUUAGCACAGAUCCGUGCAUUAACAGCUUACAAGAUUAAAUAUUGAGGGAACAGCUACUGAGGUACAGCAGCAGAAAGCUGCACAUCUUAUGUCUUUAGGGCAUUAGGGGAGACUUUAAGCUGGGAUGGAAGACUGGGAAUGGGAUCAGCCAAGGUGGUGACACAUGCUGCUGGAUCCCUGGUCCAGCAGCAGGGCUGCAAGAGUGCCCAGGGAGGGCCUCUAGGUCAGGUAAGGCAUCAUUUGAUGAGGCUCCUUCUCUUUUGAGGCCUGCAUAAGUGUAUUGAGUUGUGGCAUUGUACCUGCUCUCACUGGGAGCAGAGGGAGAGUGCAUUUACUGUCUGAUACUCAGGAGAGGCAGUGGUGUCCCUGUCAGCGUGUCUGUCCUGCUGGGUUAGAGCAGUGUGGUGGCUGUGGCAUGCAGCAGUUCAGUUUAAAACAUUUGAUGCAAUGCCACAGAGAGAGGUGCAGUGGGAAAGAAAAACUGAAUAAACCCCUGAUCCUUCAAAGUACCCCAAGCCAGCCAAGCUCUAAACAAAUGUGUGCCCCUGUGCAGAGCCAGCUCCACUUGCAGGUGAGGAGUGUAUCUCGUGUCCUGCAGCAGUUGGAACCCAGGCUUUUUGUGUAAUUUUUGUUUGUGGUUUUAAGGAGGCUGAGUCUUUUCCUGAUAUAUUUCUAAGCUGAGGUGAAUCAAAGAGCCAAAGAACCGGCAUUAGGUGGGGGUCAAGACUGCCUGGUGUUCAGAGAGGGUAAGAACAUCUUGUUAUCCUCAGCAAGGUGGUAAAGAUGUAGCUCCAAAGUAGGACUGACAGCUGGAACAAAUACCUAACAGGAGGUGGCUGCUUGGAAAGUUUAGAGUUAAAAAUACCAAACAAAGAAUCCACUGGAGUGAGGGGAGACUGAGUAAGAGAUUGUGGUGCAACAUCAGCAUCUCAGAAAUAAGCCAGUGCUUUCCUCACCUCGUUUUUACAGAAGAAUCAAAAGCAGAAAUGAAAGGCUGUGAUGCCACUUUGCAGAGGGGAGAAUUCCUGCCAUUACCAAGAGGUACCAGAACAAUCGAGGGGGCUCAGCAGUGUGCAAUUAGAGCAGCAGUGGGAUGGGAGGAUGUGACAGUUGAGCAGAUGAGACUGGAGAUCAGUUUGUAUAAUCAUGGGGGGAAAAAAAGGAGAUUAAAUUGGGGUUGCUGUGAAAAUGCUUUCCUGCAAAUUAUAUUCUUCAGGGGGAGAAAAAGCCAUAUUCAUGUUAUUUGCAUUUGAUGAAACAGGAAUCUGAAGUGGCAUUUGAAAAAUCAGAGCAGACAAAGGAGGGAAGAUAUCUUUGUUGGAGUGUUCAGGCCUUGGAGGCAGUGUUGGAGGUUUUGGGGAAAGGCUGAGCCACUGCACUGAGGAGAACACAGUGCAGAAGCUUUGUGCUGCCUUUGCAUGACAGAGAUCUCUUUGGUGACCUUACCAAGAAAAGAAAAAACCUUUUUUUUUCUCUUACAGGUGCUCUACACCCCUCUGACUAAUUUUAGCAGGAGCUGUGAGAGCUGGAAGAGGGUUUGUUGAGAGUCUCUGAAUGCUCUUUCCCCUGCACUUCUGCACUCCCACCCAGGCCAGCAGCUGAGCCUUUUGGAGGUUCUGUGGGUGCCUCUGCCUCCCACCCUGUGAGCAUCCCCCCUCCUCUCUUCCCUGAGAUCCCUGCUGUGCCACCAGCCAGCCAGGGCAGUGUCACCUCUUUGAUCUUAAGAAGACAAUUUUUCUCAGUGGAGCUGGCAGGGGUUGAAUUACAGCAGUGCCUUAAUAGAAGGCAAAGACCCAGCACAUUAAAUGCAAAAAACCCCAUCCCACUGAUUAGCAAAAGUAGACAGUUCAUCCCCUAGGUGCCAUGACCCUUCUGCUGGAUAAUUUUCUGUGUCUGUCUGAAUUAAUUGACUGGCUCUGUAGCUAGACUCCUCCUCUUGGUGUUGGGUGGGUGUGGUGAGAGGUCACACUGACGGGAGCUCCUUGUCCUGGUGUUCCCGGAUGCCUCUCAAGCCUCCUGCCAUCUCUGCAGCAAAGGCAGAGCCCAGCUCUUGGAAACUGUUGCUGCAUUUGCUGUAAUAGGAGCCAUGGGGAUGAGGCUUCUGUGGAGUAAUGCAGUGUUUGAUUAUUAAUUUCCCUAAGUUGUGCUGCAAAUCCCUCACGUUUGAGGUGUAGGUCUGGGAUCUUAUCAGAGCCUUUAAUUUGCUGAAAGGGUUUUUAUUCUUGUCUGAAAGACGUGCAAAAAUCUGGUAACCUCCAAAUGUCCCACUUGUAUUUGUUUCUUAGUUUGCAGAAUGCCUUUCACCAUAGCAACUGGGGUUUGAUUUCCUGGAGCACAUGAAUUUUCAUGGAUUUGUGAUGGGGGGAACAGACCCAAAACUGUGAGCUAAAGCAAAGGUUCUGCAGCAUGGGAGUGCCAGGAGCACCACUAGAUUUGGCUUGUGGGGAGGGGGGGAUCCUGGAGGGAGGGGAUCUCAGCUGAACAAAGCCCUGCACCCAGCCCUGAACAGUUCUGUUUGAAAAAAAUCCAGCCUGACAGAUUAAUUUAGACUAUUGCUGAAUGUCACCCUCCCCACUGCUGCAUCACCCUCUGGCAGCUGGGGUGGCUUUGCUCCAGUUUUAUGAAGAGCUGAGGUUUCACAUGGCAGCAGUCACAGAAGGAUCAGCUGCUUCCAUACUCAGAGCUGGGAGCCUCGUACUGCUCCCACCCAUGGAGGUCAGCGGGGUGUUAAGGGCAGCAUGAAACACACUCCGAGCUCUGCAGGUGAAACCAGGGAUAUUGCACACCUCUUUGAGAACUUCCACUUCGGGGAGGUGCAGCUGGACUCGGUGCGUCUCUCCCAGAGGUUCUCCUCGGACGCCUCUGGCUACUACGCCACAUCUGGGCAGCUGUGCUUCUCUUGAGGCAGCCGUAGGGGGUCUGCUCUGUGCAUGAUCCCUCAGUGAAAGGUUUUACAGGACAUGAAUCUUCAAUGGGAACCUGAGGACUCCAAGCUGGGAUGCCUCUUGACUCCUCCAAGGCAUGGGAACCGUGGCGUUUCCCUGCAGCUUUUCCCACUGCCCUCUUCUUCGGGGUUGCCUUCCUCCUCCUUUCCCCAAAACGUCACAGAGUUGCCUCUUUGAUGUCUGUGGAUUGCUGGUUUUCCAAGAAAACAAUAGAACUGGGGCUUUUGGGGCAUUGCUGGUGUUGAAAUGUGGCUUUUUUUCAGAAGAAGGAAGUUUGUUCUUAAAAUAAGUAUUUAAAAUCCAGGAGAGCUUUGCCGGAGCACGAUUUAACGAUAUUGAGGUCAGGCAUUGCUUGGAUCUCCAGCAGCGUGCCUGUGUGAUGUAGAUCUCCAAAUAAAUUAAUUCCCUUCAAAAGCAAA